CCUACGGGAGGCAGCAGUGAGGAAUAUUGGUCAAUGGGCGCGAGCCUGAACCAGCCAAGUAGCGUGAAGGAUGACUGCCCUACGGGUUGUAAACUUCUUUUAUAAAGGAGUAAAGUGAGGCACGUGUGCCUUUUUGUAUGUACCUUAUGAAUAAGGAUCGGCUAACUCCGUGCCAGCAGCCGCGGUAAUACGGAGGAUCCGAGCGUUAUCCGGAUUUAUUGGGGUUAAAGGGGGUGUAGAUGGGUUGUUAAGUCAGUUGUUAAAGUUUGCGGCUCAAACCUAGAAUUGCAAUUGAAACUGGCAGUCUUGAGUACAGUUGAGGUAGGCGGAAUUCGUGGUGUAGCGGUGAAAUGCAUAGAUAUCACGAAGAACUCCGAUUGCGAAGGCAGCUUACUAACCUGCCACUGACAUUGAUGCUCGAAAGUGUGGGUAUCAAACAGGAUUAGAUACCCUUGUAGUC
rnacentral:rRNA from 1 species